rnacentral:rRNA from 1 species
UACGGAGGAUGCAAGCGUUAUCCGGAAUGAUUGGGCGUAAAGCGUCCGCAGGUGGCAAUGUAAGUCUGCUGUCAAAGCGUCUGGCUCAACCAGAUAAAGGCAGUGGAAACUACAUAGCUAGAGUAAGGUAGGGGUAGAGGGAAUUCCUGGUGUAGCGGUGAAAUGCGUAGAUAUCAGGAGGAACACCGGUGGCGAAGGCGGAUCUCUGGGCCUGUCCUGACGCUCAGGCGCGAAAGCUAGGGGAGCAAACAGG